rnacentral:lncRNA from 1 species
GACUGUAGAAAGCAGCUACGCUGGAUGGGCUGUUGGGGGCACUCGUGUAGUAGAGAUUUCCGAAUCCUCGGGGACUGGAUGGCGCGCUGACGUACGGAGUGGUGCAAGUGCUGUCGAAGUUGAACUCCGGGGGAGAUAUCGCCAUGACGUCGGUCAUUCUUUUUUUGGUGGUAGCACACUAGACGGCCUCUUUUUCUACUUAUAAUAUCGACCCGACUUGUAAAUUUUGUGGUUAAUUACAGGUAGAUCCAUGAAAUUUCGAUUUAAGGAAGGUGCGUAGGAAGGCUCCGUUUCAUGAAGCUCGUUCGUCCACCCGUUGCCCCGAGUCCCCGAUUGGCGAUUGGUAUGAGAAAAUUGACUACUAUUUAUUUUGUCGGAUUUUGAUAAUUUCAUGUUUUCAACCACAAAAAUAAUUUACGGUUUAUUAAAUUAAUUAAACAAUUCGUGCACGUUUUGCUCCUUGGUUUAUUAAUAGUUUACACUUAUUGUAAGAUGGUAAUGUCAAACUAAUAAUUUUAAAAAUCAUAAUAUCAUAUAUCACACGAGGUAAAACACAACUAGAGUAGCUAGUUGGUAACUAAAUAAAUUAUGUAAAUAAAUGAGAUUAAAAAUAAACGGUUGAAAUUAAACAAUCGUCAUAUAAUAUAUUUUUUUGUAUAACUAAUAUUAACUUCAUUUUAAAGUUAAAUUAUGGAGUUUUGUGGAAUGUUAUUUUUUUUCACG